rnacentral:rRNA from 1 species
ACAUACGACCAUAGACUCAAUAGAAAUGGUUAUCCCGUCCGCUCUUCCAUACAAAAGUUUGAGAUCGGUGGAUUAGUAAUUGGGUGGGUGACCACCAGGGAUACCCACUGUUGUAUGUU